rnacentral:rRNA from 1 species
UACGGGGGGGCAAGCGUUGUUCGGAAUUACUGGGCGUAAAGGGCGCGUAGGCGGUUUGCUAAGUUGGAUGUGAAAACUCUGGGCUUAACCCAGAGCCUGCAUCCAAAACUGGCAAACUUGAGUACUGGAGGGGAAAGCGGAAUUCCUGGUGUAGCGGUGAAAUGCGUAGAUAUCGUAAGGAAGACCAGUGGCGAAGGCGGGUCUCUGGACAGUUCCUGACGCUGAGGCACGAAGGUCAGGGAGGCAAAC